GACGAACGCUGGCGGCGUGCUUAACACAUGCAAGUCGAACGUGAUUUUUGUGGAAAUUCUUUCGGGAAUGGAAAUGAAAUGAAAGUGGCGAACGGGUGAGUAACACGUGAGCAACCUACCUUACACAGGGGGGUAGCCGUUGGAAACGACGAUUAAUACCGCAUGAGACCACAGAAUCGCAUGAUAUAGGGGUCAAAGAUUUAUCGGUGUAAGAAGGGCUCGCGUCUGAUUAGCUAGUUGGAAGGGUAAAGGCCUACCAAGGCGACGAUCAGUAGCCGGUCUGAGAGGAUGAACGGCCACAUUGGAACUGAGACACGGUCCAAACUCCUACGGGAGGCAGCAGUGGGGAAUAUUGCACAAUGGGGGGAACCCUGAUGCAGCGACGCCGCGUGAGCGAAGAAGGUUUUCGAAUCGUAAAGCUCUGUCCUAUGAGAAGAUAAUGACGGUAUCAUAGGAGGAAGCCCCGGCUAAAUACGUGCCAGCAGCCGCGGUAAUACGUAUGGGGCGAGCGUUGUCCGGAAUUAUUGGGCGUAAAGGGUACGUAGGCGGUUUUUUAAGUCAGGUGUGAAAGCGUGAGGCUUAACCUCAUUAAGCACUUGAAACUGGAAGACUUGAGUGAAGGAGAGGAAAGUGGAAUUCCUAGUGUAGCGGUGAAAUGCGUAGAUAUUAGGAGGAAUACCGGUGGCGAAGGCGACUUUCUGGACUUUUACUGACGCUCAGGUACGAAAGCGUGGGGAGCAAACAGG
rnacentral:rRNA from 1 species